AGUUGGUUACUUCUGAGGCCUCUCUCCUUGGCUUGCAGAUGGCCACCUUCUCCCUGUAUUCUCACAUGGUCUUCCCUCUGUGUCUUACUGUGCCCUAAUCUCCUCUUGUUAUAAGGACACCAGAUAUUGGGUUAGGAUCCAUGCUAAUGACCUCAUUUAACCUUAAUUACAUCUUUGACCCUAUCUGCAAAUAUGGUCACAUUUUGAGACACUGUCGGGUUAGGACUUCAACAUAUGAAUUUGGGAGUGGGGGUACAUAAUACGUCCUUCUUUAGAACAGCUAAGACUUAUUCUAUAAUCGUGUCACUCAUCUUUGGCCUUUAUUUCCAGUGACCUUUCUUUCAUUUUCAGUUUGAAGAUCAUUCAACUCAACAGAAAAAAAAAAAAAAUAGAAAUGGAAGAGAUCUACUUUCUGUCCGUCCUGCAUCAGCAUUGCAUCAUGAUCCCCGUGCAUCUGGCUUACCCCUCCCGCAAUCAUCAGGCUCUGAAAAGAAAGAAAAUGACCUUUUAUACUUUCCUUUAGAAAAUUUUGUCAAAGCUUAAACAUUGACAUUUAAUGACAUUUAAAAUCUGUAUUAGUUUACUAGAGCUGCCAUAACAAAAUAUCACAGACUGGGUGGCUUAAACCAAGAAAUUUAUUUUCUCACAGUUCCAGAAAAGUCUAAGAUCAAGAUGCAGAUAGGAUUGGAAUCCUCAGAGGUCUCCUUGGCUUGCAGAUGGCUGCACCCUUGCUAAGUCCUCACACGUUCUUUCCUCUGCACAGAACCGUGUGCUAACUCCUCAUCAAAGACCAGAAGUAGAUCCUGAAUUGUAUUCAUUCUCAUCUCUUUCUACCUUCUCCAAGACAGAAGGACAUGAUUAACUUCUUUAUCUCAAUGUCAGCCUUCAAUAUCUACAAAAGUCUAAACUGUAAAUAGCAUUGAAGCUUUGCAUAAUAAAAUUCUUUUCCCCAGUGAUGGGCAGUUUU